GAGAAAAGCACUUUGGGGAUAACACCCGAGAACUGGCCCUACUCGUCAGAUGGGAGGCGCACCCACCAGGCAGGCUGGAAAUGACACUUCCUCCUCUGAAACGCGUUCUGAAUUGUACCUCACUUUCAUCCAGCAGCCUCAGAGCAGCCGCACGUCUCCGGGACAGACCGUUUCGCUGCAAAACUGGAAGAGGAGAAAACGAAGGUGGCUGGGAUUUCUGGGGCACUUCCUAGGGGCUGGCCCCGUGUUACAAGCACUUCGCAGGAGGAACUGUGGAAAUGUGGGUUCCCAACCGCCAGCCUGCCAUCACCCAGCCCCAUCCCCCUACUCUGGUGUUUGGUGAAGUCACAUUUCCGUACCAGGGGCAGCCUGACAGGACUACGCUCUCAAUUUGUGUUUGUUGAUCUGUGUAAUACCCAGGUGAAGAAUUGAAGCCCAGAGAGGCUCUGAGACCACCUAAGGCCACACAGUAGCUGUGAGAUAAGCUCCUUCUCGAAACCCUGGGUGUGGUCUCUGGCCCAGCAGC